rnacentral:tRNA from 1 species
UCCCUGGCAGUCCAGUGGUCAGGACACUGCCCUUCCACUGCAGGGGGCACAGGUUCCAUCCCUGGUUGGGGAA